CGUAACUCUCUGCAACCACCGCCGAACAGCCCGCCGCUCCCAGCGCCACCGGCGCGUGCUCACGCGACGACCCGCACCCGAAGUUACCGCCUGCGAUUAUGAUCUUGUACUUUGUUUUUGUUUCGUUUUCGUCGAUGAAGCGCGUGGUGUAGGUCGCGGGCAGGCCGAUUAAAGCGUAGCUGCCGAGUUUUUCGUAUUCAUCGGGAUUGGAUGGGACCAAGGUGAGGUACUCGGCGGGGAUGAUUUGAUCGGUGUCGAUGUUGUCGCCGACCACAUAGCAGAGGCCGUGAAAGGUCCUGCUUGGUUCCUUGGUGGCGCGUGAAUCUGCUGAGGUGGCUUUAGGGAUUACGGAAACGGGGCGUUGGAAAGUGACGGCGGCCCUUCCGUUGCCGGUGGUGAAUUUGAGCGAGUGUGGGAUGAUAUUGAAUAAGGGUUUGGUCUUGGGGAUGGAUGAUGAAGUGAAAGUAGAGUUUGCACCAAA
rnacentral:lncRNA from 1 species